CAGCAGCCACGGGAAUACGAAGGGGGCUAGCGUUGUUCGGAUUUACUGGGCGUAAAGCGCACGUAGGCGGACUUUUAAGUCAGGGGUGAAAUCCCGGGGCUCAACCCCGGAACUGCCUUUGAUACUGGAAGUCUUGAGUAUGGUAGAGGUGAGUGGAAUUCCGAGUGUAGGGGUGAAAUUCGUAGAUAUUCGGAGGAACACCAGUGGCGAAGGCGGCUCACUGGACCAUUACUGACGCUGAGGUGCGAAAGCGUGGGGAGCAAACAGGAUUAGAGACCCCGGUAGUCCCUGUCUCUUAUAC
rnacentral:rRNA from 1 species